rnacentral:rRNA from 1 species
UAAGAGGUCCCGCCUGCCCAGUCACUAAACGUUUAACGGCCGCGGUACUCUGACCGUGCAAAGGUAGCGCAAUCACUUGUCUUUUAAAUGGAGACCUGUAUGAAUGGCAUAACGAGGGCUUAACUGUCUCCUUUUUCUAGUCAAUGAAAUUGAUCUCCCCGUGCAGAAGCGGGGAUAAUUAUAUAAGACGAGAAGACCCUAUGGAGCUUCAGACACUAACGCAGGCCAUUUCACUAACCCCAGACAAGGAUUUUAAACCAAAUAGUCGACUGCCCUAAUGUCUUUGGUUGGGGCGACCGCGGGGAAACAAAAAACCCCCAUGUGGAAUGGGACACCCUCCUUGAAAUAAGAGCUACCGCUCUAAUUUAACAGAAAUUCUGACCAAUCAGAUCCGGCUUCAGCCGAUCAACGGACCGAGUUACCCUAGGGAUAACAGCGCAAUCCUCUUUCAGAGCCCAUAUCGACAAGAGGGUUUACGACCUCGAUGUUGGAUCAGGACAUCCUAAUGGUGCAGCCGCUAUUAAGGGUUCGUUUGUUCAACG